UCCGGUUUGGCACCGGCAGUCUUCCCAGAGUCCCCGACAUUACUCGCUGGCAACUGGGAACGGGGGUUGCGCUCGUUGCGGGACUUAAGGCAACACCUCACGGCACGAGCUGACGACAGCCAUGCAGCACCUGUGUUCCGGUUCCCUUUCAGGCACACCCACCUUUCAGCAGGCUUCCAGACAUGUCAAGGGUAGGUAAGGUUGUUCGCGUUGCAUCGAAUUAAUCCACAUCAUCCACCGCUUGUGCGGGUCCCCGUCAAUUCCUUUGAGUUUUAACCUUGCGGCCGUACUCCCCAGGCGGUCAACUUCACGCGUUAGCUACGGUACUGAGGAAUCGCUCCCCCAACACCCAGUUGACAUCGUUUAGGGCGUGGACUAC
rnacentral:misc_RNA from 1 species